UGGGGAAUCUUGCGCAAUGGGCGAAAGCCUGACGCAGCAACGCCGCGUGGGGGAUGAAGGCUCUCGGGUUGUAAACCCCUUUCAGCAGGGACGCGGUACCUGCAGAAGAAGCCCCGGCUAACUACGUGCCAGCAGCCGCGGUAACACGUAGGGGGCAAGCGUUGUCCGGAUUUAUUGGGCGUAAAGAGCUCGUAGGUGGCUGAGUAAGUCGGAUGUUAAAUCCCCAGGCUCAACCUGGGACACCACCCGAUACUGCUCGGCUAGAGUCCGGUAGGGGAGCGUGGAAUUCCUGGUGUAGCGGUGAAAUGCGCAGAUAUCAGGGGGAACACCAACGGCAAAGGCGGCGCUCUGGGCCGGUACUGACACUGAGGAGCGAAAGCGUGGGUAGCAAACAGGAUAGAUACCCGAGUAGU
rnacentral:rRNA from 1 species